UAUUUUUUUUUUGUUAGGAGGAACUUAAACACACUUUUCAACUUUACGCGUUCAAUGUGUUUCCAUAAGUAUCCAUUCUUAUUCACCGUAAACUUAGAUUUUUUUUUCUUUUUCUAUCAAAAAGCAAAAAAAUUUUUUUCUCAUCGUUUAUACCAUUAGGUAACUUUACUUUAUCACGUUUUGGAUUAGAGCUAAAAAACCCAGUAAAGUAAAGCAAAUUUAAACUAAGAGGCCGUUACUUUAAGUAAAUUCCAUAAGCUUUAGGCGAGGGUAUAAACCCUUUAUCGUUACUCAUGUCAGCAUUAUCACUUGGGUAAUCUAAUCUUAAGUCUUAAAAAGAAAAAAUCUGAAAUAUGCCCAAUGUUCCGCUACCCCAUAUAUAUUCUAUGUAACUUGUACAUAUAAAUAUUUAUGGACAAGGUCUCGGUAUAUUAUUUAGAUCCGUUAAAUUUUAGGUGCAUCUAACAAUACAAUACAAAAUUGUAUAAAACCAGUGCUCUGUUACGAGGUCUUUAAAAAAUGGCCGCUCCUAAGCCCAUUUCCUGGUUGGCUUAGAUAAACACUACCUUAUUUUCACUUAACAAUAAUUUGGAACCCUGCGAAGCCA
rnacentral:rRNA from 1 species